rnacentral:rRNA from 1 species
UUAUGGUGGGCGACUCUAAGGAGGACUGCCGGUGACAAACCGGACGGAAGGUGGGGAUGACGUCAAGUCAUCAUGGCCUUACGGCCUGGGCUACACACGUGCUACAAUGGUCGGUACAAAGGGUUGCCAAGCCGCGAGGUGGAGCUAAUCCCAUAAAACCGAUCGUAGUCCGGAUCGCAGUCUGCAACUCGACUGCGUGAAGUCGGAAUCGCUAGUAAUCGUGAAUCAGAAUGUCACGGUGAAUACGUUCCCGGGCCUU